rnacentral:rRNA from 1 species
UACAGAGGGUGCAAGCGUUAAUCGGAAUUACUGGGCGUAAAGCGUGCGUAGACGGUAGCGUAAGUCGGGUGUGAAAGCCCCGGGCUCAACCUGGGAAUUGCAUUCGAGACUGCUCUGCUAGGGUGCGGAAGAGGGGAGCGGAAUUUCCGGUGUAGCGGUGAAAUGCGUAGAUAUCGGAAGGAACACCAGUGGCGAAAGCGGCUCCCUGGUCCAGCACCGACGUUCAGGCACGAAGCGUGGGAGCAACAGG